CCCGAGGCCCUAUUGGUGCUCCACAAGAGAGCACGAGAAGCACCAGGGCGGCCGGGCCUCCCGCCACCGGCGACUGCUGGGACAAGUGGUGAGUGGGCAUUACCUCCCGUCUGAAAUAUUGGAAGGUUUCAGGACCAGGGACAGCAAGCUGCAGACCAGGUGAGCUUCCAAGGAUCAGCACCAUGGACAGGGCUGCAGCAGAGUGCAGGUAUGUGGAAUUUUCCACUCUGCUGCAGCACACCUGAGACUGCUUCAGUGAUUGCCUCACAGAGUAUAUAAGGAGCAGCACAAAGGACUGAGAGACUGGCUGGGGCUAGGGAGAGAAAUUACGCCUGGCUUCUCUCCUCACCUGUUCCUAGGGCGGAGGAUCGUACUUACCCUGGAGAGGAAGACUGAUACCCCGACCGCGAAGAAAUUUAAAUAAAUUCAGUCCACAGUAUUUACUAUAAAAACCACUGAGAAUACUCCUCCCAACACAAGAGCAUCACCUGUUCGACAGAGAGGGAGAUCUGUGUGUCACAAUGGGAGCUAUUUUAGCUUUUGCAGUGUUACUGGGAACUUCAUUUUAUGGUCACUGAGUUGAACUCACACAGCCAGGCUCUAUACUUGUAAAACCAGGAGUCUCUGACCAUCUCCUGUAAAGUCUCUGGGUAUUCCCUGACUGAUAGCGGCUAUGGUACAGCCUGGAUUCAACAGCCUGAAGGGGAAGCACUGGAGUGGAUUGGAACCAUAUGGUGGGAUGAAGACAUUUCUUUUCAAGAUUCUUUGAAGAACAAAAUUUUAUUUAUAAAAUGUUAUGCUGAAUAAAUUAUUUUUGAUAUCAA